rnacentral:rRNA from 1 species
CCCUUAGAUGUUCUGGGCCGCACGCGCGCUACACUGAUGCAUUCAACGAGCCUAUCCUUGACCGACAGGUCCGGGUAAUCUUUGAGUCUGCAUCGUGACGGGGAUAGAUUAUUGCAAUUAUUAAUCUUCAACGAGGAAUGCCUAGUAGGCGCAAGUCAUCAGCUUGCGUCGAUUACGUCCCUGCCCUUUGUACACACCGCCCGUCGCUCCUACCGAUUGGGUGUGCUGGUGAAAUGUUCGGAUCGGCCGUUUGUCGCGGUUUCCGCGGCUCGUGGCUGAGAAGUUCAUUAAACCCUCCCACCUAGAGGAAGGAGAAGUCGUAACA